rnacentral:misc_RNA from 1 species
GAUGAAGAACGCAGCGAAAUGCGAUAAGUAAUGUGAAUUGCAGAAUUCAGUGAAUCAUCGAAUCUUUGAACGCACAUUGCGUCCGCCAGUAUUCUGGCGGGCAUGCCUGUUCGAGCGUCAUUACAACCCUCAGGCCCCCGGGCCUGGCGUUGGGGAUCGGCGGAGCCCCCCGUGGGCACACGCCGUCCCCCAAAUGCAGUGGCGGUCCCGCCGCAGCUUCCAUCGCGUAGUAGCUAACACCUCGCGACUGGAGAGCGGCGCGGCCACGCCGUAAAACACCCAACUCUUCUGAAGUUGACCUCGAAUCAGGUAGGAAUACCCGCUGAACUUAAGCAUAUCAAUAAGCGGAGGA